rnacentral:rRNA from 1 species
UACGGGGGGAGCAAGCGUUUGUUCGGAUUUACUGGGCGUAAAGGGCGCGUAGGCGGUCGUGACAAGUCACUUGUGAAAUCUCCGGGCUUAACUCGGAACGGUCAAGUGAUACUGUCGGACUAGAGUACAGAAGGGGCAACUGGAAUUCUCGGUGUAGCGGUGAAAUGCGUAGAUAUCGAGAGGAACACCUGCGGCGAAGGCGGGUUGCUGGGCUGAUACUGACGCUGAGGAGCGAAAGCAUGGGGAGCAAACAGG